rnacentral:lncRNA from 1 species
AUGUGUGGGACAGAAGGAUGCACCAGGGAAGCAAGCAGAUCUGGAGCUCAAGCAAGACGCAGCGAUAGCAGAAACAGUAAAGAAAACAAGGAUGCGAUCCAGAGCCUAACCGAAGUAAGGGGUACGCUUGUGUGGACUUCAGCUCCAACCGAGUCAGACUCAAGAUUAACAACUAUACUGUGCCAUCCCAUGAGAUUCCCAGCACUUUCAUUUUCUCAAAGACCAAGGAGCUGUCUUUGUGUCAUUCAAAUCGCCUUGAAGCAACUUCCUUCUGUGCAAAACUUUCCCGGUAAAACAGUUUUCUUCUCUGGUGUGAUGUCCUAUUUCUUCGGUUUUCUCGCAUGCUUGUCUGGUGAAUGAGAUGUGACAGUAGUUGUUCCAUUUCAGUGUUUUGAGGCAUAAAUCUUUAUCUUGCAUCUUGGCGUCAUGAUAGAUAUAGUUAUGUUUCUCUGCUCCUAUUUUUUUUUCUUUGAUUUUCUACAAAAGCAACUCACAGUGUCAAAUCACAAUGAAAAUGAACACGUUGUCCAUAAGGAAAUAUUAUUCUAAGAUAGAAUCUAUGCCCAUUACAAUCAAAGGAAAUCUGUAGCAUGGUAUAUUGGCAUGAAAAAAGAUCCAAAGAUUUUUAUGAUUUAU